CAACCAGCUUCUCACCAGGGUACGUAACUGAUUUCCCCUUUGCAAUAUUAGCUGAUCAUUGCUUUUGUCAUCAGAAGAAGUCUUAGAUUUGGCUGUACACGGUGGACAACAUAGUUACUCAUCUUCUAAUCAGAGAUUAUUCUUGCAUAGGAUGUUCAGUCAAAAACAGAUCCAAAAUUGCUUCCAUAUUCUUCACACCCACUCCAUUUUUAUGAAAAGCUUUCUUGCUGAACCUCUUAUAAAUGCCUCUCCUGAUAUAUGUAAGGAGUGGGUUCAAUGGUAGUAGAUUGAUUUAAACCAAGGAGAACACUGCACAUUGAGAACUAUUGGAU
rnacentral:lncRNA from 1 species